rnacentral:lncRNA from 1 species
CAAGGUACUUACUAAAUGCAUUGAUAAAAAAAAAAAAAAGAACUAAACAAAAUCUGGUGAAGAAGGUGAACCGACCAGACAAAAUUUGGAAUUCUCAAAAAAUUUCCGAGCAUGGAAAUUCCUUGUGCAGAUCCUUGCGCUGAUUUAUUCUUGAUAUACAAAAUGAAGUGUUUUUAUACCUAGUGAUGACCUGGCAAAUGAGGUACUUGCAGCUUUAGAGGUAAGUGGUGAAAAACUUUGGUGGAUGUCCCUGGAAGAAAGUUACUGGGAGUUCAUGAAAUCUGGAGUGGCUGAUAUGGUUAACACCGGUAGUUGUCAAGGCGGUUCCAUGAUUGCAGCUCUUUUCUUGAAGCAGGUACAGCUUCCCCUAUCCCCACAACCCUUUCUUCCUUGUUGAAUCAGCAUUUUGACAAUAUUAAGUUUGUUUUACCUGAUGUGCAUUUGGUGUAUACUAAAGUAGCUUUUUACUGAACCAUUUUGAAAAUUCCAGAAUAGUUGUAAAUCUAAUGGCCUAAUUUGUAGUUUGGAAUGGUUCUAAUGGCAAGUAGGUAGAUUUCAAAUCUAGAAAAUUGGCAAUUUGGAAGGGGCUUCAAAUGUUGGACCGAUGGGGCUUAUUUCUGAUGGCAAAAAAUAAAAAACAAAAUGUUCCUUUUGUCAGAAGAAAUCGCCUAUUUGAAUAUGGAAAAAUUGGGUGCUAACAUGUAUCUUUGUAUUGGCUAAGUUCACAAACUGGAGAUACAUGGGUAGUUGUGGGAGUUUAGUUUUUGUGUGUGUCGGAACACAGAUUACGUUGGUAUCACAAUGACUGUUGCUCACUUGAAGGCAUUUGUGUCAAAUUUGAACUGAGAGAGGUGAUAAAUUAGUAGGCAAACUAACACUCCAAAUGGUGAAAGAAUUGCCCCCACUCUAUCUCGAUUGGAUCAAUAAGGGAUUUUUUUUGUGGACCACUGUCUCACACAUUUACCUCUUACAAAGCUUGGCAGCAUUGAACUCUCUCCUGUGUCCUCUAAUUUUCUUCUACAUCAUCCUUCUUCUUCGAACACACCUAGCAGCAAUGGACUCUCUUAUUUAUCCUUCUGCAGAUUUCGUCCAACCUGGGGUAAAAGCAAGUAUUGACAUUAAAAUAUACCCAUUUUCUUAUAAAGUCUAUUUACACUUCUAUUAUUUUCAAUCCAAUUUUGAAAUCUCUCCACAACCCUCCAAAAUUGAUCUUGGGAAAUUUUGAGAAUCUGAAAAAAUCGAGACCACCAUUUUCGUGCUGUCUACAAAUUGAAUGUUGAGGCAAUUAGUUUCAACAUAAGUCGCUUCUCAACCGCAAGGCCAAGGAAUGCGCCGCCGCGAAUAAAGAUAAAGGCAACAAAUUCACCACCGAGGACAUCAUGCAUACUGUUGAUUAGUCGGGUACUUCUCGGCUACUUUGGAAUUUUUGAGUUUAUUGUUGUUUCUGACAUUAAAUAUUGCAUCUUAAUUACAGGAAGAGAGAAACUAUGUUUGUGCUCCUAUUUUUUUGGUAUUUUGAUGGAUUGAUGGGUUUUGAUUUUAAUUUUGUUAUAUUCAAUGGUGAUGGUUACAAAUCAUGAUAUUGAAUUAAUUAGUAUAAUCUGUGUGCUCGCUUCUAUAAUUAUUACUUAAGAUAUUUGUGAUAGUUAAAAAUCUCAUUAUUAGGUAGGACUGGGUAACUGUGUCAUAUUUUGGCAAAUGAUUUGAUUAGCUUUGUGAAUAAGUGGUUGUGCUUAACAUUUGUAUUGAGUAACGCUUAACAAAUUGUUGAAAUAUUAACUUUUUGGUCCUGAUAAUGUAAUAUUAAAAUCGUUUUAGGUUAAUUACUGAUGUUAAUAAUUGAAAUGAAUGUUAUUUAUGAAUUUGUUCUUGGAAAAAAAUUUGAUGGAAUUACAAAUUGAAAUAUAUUUGUACUAUUGGUGUUUAUAUUGGAGAGAAACUUUGACUGAUAUAUACAAUGAAUUGGAAUUGAUUUUGAUAAAUAUUGUUUGUUCGGUGAAUCGUCGAACUUGAGAUUGUUUUGCACAUUUUGUGUUUAUGAUAAUUAAAUAUCAACUCUAGCUUCUCUUCAAACUUGUACAUGAGGAGUUACAUAUGACGUGUCAAAAAGAGAAUAAGAAUCUUUUUUUUUUUGACGAAAUUCGGACCGAACCAUAUCUAACCACAACAUGUGUACGUAAAUCAUUAUGUAAAUCACUAGAUACAUUCUUUUGCACACUAGUAGUACCAACAAUUUUGUAAUCAUCACUUUUAUGGUGCCGAUAUGUUUUAGUGUGUGUGAUUCGUGACAUUGCAUUUUACAUUUUUGGUGUCUGAAGUGCUUUUAGAUUCAAGAUUUUGCCAAAGGAAAGAGUAUAUGCCAUUUUAUUAUUGAAUUUAAAAUUACCAAAUUGUUCCAUAAAACUCUUAUGCAAUAAGUUGUUUGAGACAACAUUUGAAUCAAUAAUAAUUCAGUAUGUUUAGCAAAAUUUUGUCUGCAAUAUGAGUAUUUGAUAAACAAUCAUCUAUUUUCUUCGAAAAUUAUAGGACAUCAAUUGCUCUAUUUAUUUCAUUUGGUAAAUGGCACCUUUUGAGUGUAAUCUCCAAAUGUAAAUUAUCUCCAAUAACUGUACAAACAUCCAUAUGUUUUUUUAUACCCUCAAAUGAUGAGGUAUGUCGAUUCGAGAUGUGCUUUAGUUUAGAGUGCAUGAUUUUGUUAUCUUUUUCCCUCAAUUCUUUUAUCUACAUAAAGUCUUAUGCCAAUAUUUAUGUUGGGCUUGAUUGAAUUCUUUCUUAGUUUAGGGUUUUUUCAUUUUGCACUUGUAAAGAUUAUUUGGGCUUAAAGGUUUGAGCUAUGUUUCAUUUGCGUAUCCUUGUGAUUGAACAGAAAAUAUUGUGCAUUAACAACAUUCUAUUGCUUCAGUAAUAUUUUUUGCACUCAUGUUUCAUUUUGAAUUGGAGUAUAUUCUUCAUAGAUGGCUCUUGGAGGACUGGUUCAAUCGCUCUCUUCGGUAAUUAUGUUAUUUUUAUUUUCUCAUGUGUUUGUUCCCCAUUUGUUAUGAUUCAGUGGCUUUGAUUUUAACUAAAAAAGAGCAAAGGAAGCUUCUAAGGCUCAAUGAUGAUUCAUUCAUUUUUUUUUAAUCAUUUCUCAUAUUUUUUUAUAUUUCUUUAUCUUUUAUUCUUUUGUGUUUGUUUCAUUGAUUUUGAAGAUAAAAUGUUCCCUCAAAUUUGAGGGUACAAGUGUAACAUGUAGAAAUGAAAAUUUUGAUCAGAAUCUUGUUUUCGUGAAUGGUAUAUUAGUUGAGGGGUGCAUGAUUGUAGCUUGGAAUAGCAAAUAACGUUAUUGUAUAACAUAUGGAUAACCGCGAUAUCUUAAUUUAAUCCCCUUUGAUGAGCUAACUAUUUUGGUGUAAUACCGAAAUCAUUAUCAUAUAGAUUUUAUUAGUUUAUGAUGCGCUUGUUGGAAGCAUUUUGUAGAUUCUUUCAUGCCUUUUUUCAGUGUGCAACUUGUGUUUCAACACUCAAUUUGAAAAGUAAUUGACCUAAAAAGUUAAUGGAAAAAUAUUUGUGCUGAAAGGAGUAGUAAACAAUGAAGGCAAAGCAGGAAUGGCAACUUUUUCUACUUUAGAACGUCGAAUGCGGACUGAAAUUGUACAAGCUAGAAACAUAGGUAUACUUACAUUCUUCCAUAAAAGCAAUCAAAAAUUGCAUGAUUUUUCUAAUCCUGACUAUGGAAUUGUAUUGGCAUAUUUGAUAUAACUGAACUAAUCUUUGGCUUAGCAUAAUGCUUCUGACAUAUGUCUAUUGUUCGCAUCUCUCACCCUUGUUUGAUAUCAAUAACGUUCAAGUGAUCAAUUCUAGACGCGAUGCUUCGAACUUUUCGAGUUGAGGUCAUCAUCCGGAGAACAUCCAUAACCACUCCAUUUGGAGCCUCGCAUUUCAAUUUACCAGGUGAGAAUGACACUUUCUUCCAUUUCUUUUUGGGUUAGACACAUUUGACGAACAUGCGUUUCAACAAGUUUUGAACCUAUGCUAGUUGUGGUCAACUAUGCACACAUAAACACAUCCAUUACACAUUUCUUAUCAUGUUUGUCAUAUAACCCGACCCUUUUUGCUCCGAAAAAUUAAUACAUCUGCACAGUCAGUUUUAGUGACUCAUGCAACGCAUUGGGUAUGGUUCAAAUGAUUCUUCACACAAGAAUUACACACUCGUAGUGGUAUACAUGUCAAAAUUAUAUUGUUUCUGUUUUCACUUCAGUUGCACAACUCACUUUAGCAGGAAGAUAAAAUCGAGGUGAACUGUCGUUUCUGACAGUUAGCCUCAGCCAUUCACGACAAUUGGCCUCUCCAAUCAUUUGUGGAGAUUAGCUGUCGGUAUCGACAGAUGAACUAUCCAUACCUACGGUUUAUGUCAGUUUUCCAUGACAUCUGUACUCUUGCACAUAUCUUCAUUUUGUUUAUCAUCCGUGUCGAUAUUUGUACCCUUACAUAUAUGCUUGGCGUCAACAUGUUGACUACCAGUUCAUUUUUUGUACGUCAUAUUAUGCUUAAUCUGUUGAUUAUGUGUUACGUUAUGUGUUACAUGAUGAUCUAAUCACUCAUUUUGUUGUAGUACCUUAUAAGACAAAUGGAGUUUGAAUUCCUCGUUCUAGAAAAUGCUGGGUUUCAGGCUCACAUUUGGCAACGGAGCAACUUAAAGUAUGUGAAGACAGUCCUGGAGCACUUCGACAAUAGACAAGUCGACGACUUCCGAAAUUCAUGCCUCGAGUUCUUCGUCGAGGUGCUUGACAUACAAUUCUCUGCCUAGCUCAUCCAACAGCUGGUGUUUAGAUCCCUUAGCACUGAUAAGACAAACGAGGUGUAGUUCAACGUACAAGGGCACAUGACAAAGUUUAGACUGUAUGAGUAUGCACUCGUAAUGGAGGCGGUGUGACCACAAAGAGGCUUUGAUCGGUACGCCUUCGACGUCCAGCACUUGCUACAAGGACUCCGUACACGAGGGAGAGGCAAAAAAGAAUGAAGAAAUAAGUGUAUUGCCAUUCGUGUUAACAGUUUUUUGAUUUUGCUUAGUCGGUGAGACUAGUACGCUAUUUGCUUUAGGCAUUUCGGGUAGUGAUGAUGGUUAUGUAAUGUAGUCAAGCCACUGUGAUUGUUUUUGGGUGACAUUGUUUUGAGGCAUCAAGGAAAAGAAUUUUGUUGUGGUCCUGAAUAAUUCAUUGUGACAAAAAGGGUAACAUUUUUCACCAUUGUGCUUAAGAGC